UAAAUGGCCCUUUUCAGGGCCAACAAUAUUAAGCAAAGGCAGUGU
rfam:Ixodes scapularis strain Wikel colony gcontig_1107728804754, whole genome shotgun sequence.